GAUCCUCCGAUCUCAAUACUGACGCAUGUCUUCUUGAUGAAGAUAAAUGCACUUAAAGUCAGGCCAUGGUUUCUCUGCUUGGAUCUCUUGGUUGUGAGGACAGUGUUGUCUAAAACCAGUAUUACUGCCUCCUAACACAUUUGUUGCUGAUAAUCUGGAAUUAUCGUCUUCAAUCCACUUUAUCUUAUCCCUCCCUCCCUGUCUCCCUCCCUUCCUUCCUUCUUUCCUUCCUUCCUUCCUUCCUUCCUUCCUUCCUUCCUUCCUUCCUUCCUUCCUUCCUUCCUUCCUUCCUUCCCUCCCUCUCUCAUCCAUUCAUAUAUUCAUUCUCUGAAUGAGGACCAUAAGCCUACGCUGGGAAGCUAUUGGUGCAUGACACUGGCAUCAACCCUACCUUCAAGGAGGACCAAUCUAGAAGAGGAGGCAGUGGCUUUUGAGUCCUGCUGUGUGCUGUGAUGCUAAAGGAAAGAAGAUUCAUUUACAGUUAAAUCAUCAGAAGUAGUUUUGCAAUCACAGUUUGGCAGCCAGGAGACCUUGGAGGGUUUUCUUCAGGCCCUUUGACUUGGAGUCAAGACGUGCUGUGCUGUCUGGGGCUGAGCUGCGGACUCCCCAGGAGGGCCAGCAAAAAUCUGCAGAGGCAGCACAACUGCCUGGACCAGGCCCCUCCGGCCGCCUCCACACUUUUACACCAAGAAGAAAGGGAUUGACCGUGAUCAAGUGUCUUCAAUGAGCCCAGCUCCAUGGCAAUGACACCCAACUGUAACCAGAACCCAGACUGUUCUCACAGAAAGUGGUGGCCCACAUCACCUGCUUCGGAAUCUAGCACAAGAUAGUGUUAGAGUCCCUGAGUGCUAGAAAGCUCUUCUGCAAGUUCUUCUAGAAGAUGCACUCAGGAGAGUCAUGCAUGUCAGUAGACCAAGGACAACCAAGCCAGGUGGACGGGAAGGAAGACACCUGUCACACAAAUGCUUUCAAGAGAGUGUAAACCAAGUUAAACAGACGUCUGUAUAAGCUGCUGAGGGACCCCAGAGAGAGAGAGGGAGAACUCUGCCUGGGUUGGGGAAGGGAUUGAAGAAGGAAGAAACAUUUAGAUUGGGUUUUGGAGUAUGAAUAGAAGUUUUCUGGGCAGAGCAUUAAAAAUAAAACCCC